UGAAAAGCGAUGAAGAGAAGAGUACGCAACGCAGACGAUCGACAGAGAGCCCGAGUCGGUGAAAACGGGCGAUCAUAACCGUUGCGGAAAAUGGCCUCGGAGCUGCCGGCUGAGCCGCAAGGCAAGGUCGUGCCGGGUGUGCCCGUCACUGCACUGGUGUAUCGCUCUUUGAGCCGUACAUGAAUGAGGUCUGCAGCGCAGAUGAAGUAGGGUGGUACCACGAGUGUCCUCGUCCCUGAG
rfam:Negativicoccus succinicivorans DORA_17_25 Q612_NSC00318, whole genome shotgun sequence.